rnacentral:rRNA from 1 species
UGGGGAAUUUUGGACAAUGGGGGAAACCCUGAUCCAGCCAUCCCGCGUGUGCGAUGAAGGCCUUCGGGUUGUAAAGCACUUUUGGCAGGAAAGAAACGUCAUGGGUUAAUACCCCGUGAAACUGACGGUACCUGCAGAAUAAGCACCGGCUAACUACGUGCCAGCAGCCGCGGUAAUACGUAGGGUGCAAGCGUUAAUCGGAAUUACUGGGCGUAAAGCGUGCGCAGGCGGUUCGGAAAGAAAGAUGUGAAAUCCCAGAGCUCAACUUUGGAACUGCAUUUUUAACUACCGGGCUAGAGUGUGUCAGAGGGAGGUGGAAUUCCGCGUGUAGCAGUGAAAUGCGUAGAUAUGCGGAGGAACACCGAUGGCGAAGGCAGCCUCCUGGGAAAACACUGACGCUCAUGCAAGAAAGCGUGGGGAGCAAACAGG